rnacentral:lncRNA from 1 species
GUCAGCACCUGACCUGGUGCCCACAGCUACACCAGAACAAGAGAUUCUGAAGUGAACAACAGAGGGGAGUACUGAAACAUUUGGGAAGAGGAAGCCCUCUCCUAAUAAAUGGAUGCUGACUGCAUGUUGUAAAACAGCAUUGGACUUUACUGGAAAGGUCAGCUGUCUGUCAGUCUGC